AGAUUGAACGCUAGCGGCAUGCCUAACACAUGCAAGUCGAACGGUAACAGGCCCUUCGGGGUGCUGACGAGUGGCGGACGGGUGAGUAAUGCGUAGGAAUCUACCCACGAGUGGGGGAUAGCCCGGAGAAAUCCGGAUUAAUACCGCAUAUGCCCUACGGGGUAAAGCGGGGGAUCGUAAGACCUCGCGCUGAAGGAGCGGCCGAUGUCCGAUUAGUUAGUUGGUGGGGUAAAGGCCUACCAAGGCUACGAUCGGUAGCUGGUCUGAGAGGACGACCGCA
rnacentral:rRNA from 1 species